rnacentral:lncRNA from 1 species
CUCGAAGACAAUACAAAAUUACAAUAACAAAGCAAUUACGUACAUGAUUGACAGUUAAUACAGUGAACCUAUUUAUAGCUAAUUAUAGCAUAAUGUCUCUGUCUGAUAAUGUAACGAUAUAUUAAAAUGUUAAUUUCUCUGUUCAUAACACUCCCCAGGGUUGAGCCGUACACAGUGCUCAACAAUACUCCCCAGAAUAAUCGUAACUAGAAAUAUGAAAGUUUCACGAACUACAGUCUGUCUAACUGUUCGCAUAAUCGGUUUCUCAAAUAAUUAAUUAACGGAUAAUGUUUAUGUCUUCCUUUGAAACUCUUUCAUCUGUUCCAGUCUUCGCAAUUCACCCACUACAUAUUCUCCUUGCAUAUUCUCCGUGUUCCUAGCAGUUCGUUUAACUUCAAGUUCGUUGACAAACCUUAACACGUACGCUGUUACACGCAACAGCUUAGCGAAGCUGCUGAAACGGUCACAAUUUAUGAUGUCGUUCAGAUUCAAUUCAGCUGAUUCUUCUUCUUUCGUACUGACGAGUGAAUGAAUAACCGUCUGCGGUUUCUUAACGGUUUCGUUCAAAGCUGUGUCAUCCAGGGCGCUCGCUGCUGGAUCCUUCGGCCACUCGCACUGAGGCUUGUAAAGAUACUCUGGUCCACUCCACCUGGUCCAAUGGUAGCUGAUCCAUUAUAGACCACUCGCAACUUUGUAGUCGAUUUGUCUUUCCUUACUACACCGUGAUGUGGAAGAUAAUGCACGUUGUUUUCGUUCUCUUUGUUGUCGUCGCUUUGAUAAGGCACUCGCUCGAUUACUCCCGAUAUUAAUUGUUCCUGAAUUCCUUUGUCAUAUUCUCGAAGAGGCUCAGGUUGUCUUGUUAACUUCUGAUGCAACGACCGUAACCGAUUGUAGCAAAGUUCGUAGUCGACUGCGACCUCAGGAUUGUCCUCUUUCCUAGGUAGGCGAACUUCGUACCGUUCUGCUGUAAAUCGAAUAUCACGAAUGAAGUUGACAUCAUCGUUUGGUUCAGCUUGAUAAUUGUCUACUCCUAUGGACUCUGUUUCCCAAAAACGCUUUAGUGAAUUGACAAUCUUGUCCUCGUUCGUUGGCGCGGUGAAGUAUCUUGAUGUGUCCAAUGAUUCACCAGUUAGGGUGAGAUUUGAAACAGUUGGAUCUUCGUGUUCAGCAGAUUUUGGUACUCGACCGGAUAACAACCAUCCAAGCUUGCUGCUGACCGCUGUAGGACCACUUUCACCUUUGACAACAUCACCUGUGACAAUGUCCCAAUAAUGGUCUGCGCCAAUUAGGAUAUCGAUGCUGUUACUUUCCUUAUCGUCGCCGCCAAAGUCUGCAAGUUCCAGCCCUUCCAGAUGUACGUAAUUCGUGUUGACUUUCGAGUUCAGUGGAGAACAUAUUAUAGGGAAAUUAAUUGCUGUAACUUCUACCUCUUCACUUCCGUUUUGGUUCUCGAUAUUGAAUUUGUAGAUUUCGCAGUUUUGGCGCUUGCAUUUAUUGUCCCCAAAUGUGUUCAAAUACAGUGUUUCCUUUCUAAGUGGUUCCAACUUUAAUUUCGCUUGAGUUGAAUUCGUAAUAUAAGAGCGCUGGCUCCCUGUGUCAAACAAUACGCGUACGGGAACUGAUCUUACACCGUUCGUUGCCUUUGCUCUAGCUGUUUGAAGUAAAACAGUACCCUUACAGAUUUUUGUGGCUGUUGUUGUAGAUUCCUCAUUUUUCGCCUGUUCGGUUGACUUCGCGCUUUCGACUUUCUGAUUUCGUGAACAUAUCGAUUGGUGGUGCCUGCCCUGGCAGUGGCGGCACUUUCUUGCAUUGUUACAGUCUUUCGCGUUGUGUCCUUUCCAUAAACAAUUGAAACAACGUCCUGAUUCACUAAGAACUUUCUUUCGAGCUUCACAAGGAACAAUCUUUUCGCAUGAUGCUGAAUAAUGGCGACCACUACAGUAAACG